rnacentral:rRNA from 1 species
CGGGGGGGGGGGGCAAGCGUUGUUCGGAAUUACUGGGCGUAAAGGGCGCGUAGGCGGUCCCGCAAGUCCUUCGUGAAAUCCCACAGCUCAACUGUGGAACUGCGAGGGAAACUGCAGGACUUGAGUCCGGGAGAGGAGAGUGGAAUUCCCAGUGUAGCGGUGAAAUGCGUAGAUAUUGGGAGGAACACCGGUGGCGAAGGCGGCUCUCUGGACCGGUACUGACGCUGAGGCGCGAAAGCUAGGGGAGCAAACGGGAUUAGAUACCCCGGUAGUCCUAGCCUUAAACGAUGAGCACUUGGUGUGGCGGGUAUCGACCCCUGCCGUGCCGAAGCUAACGCAUUAAGUGCUCCGCCUGGGGAGUACGGUCGCAAAGGCUG